GUCCCGACCGGUACCCGUCCUACCUGAAACACCCUCAAAUUUUAUUCGAGGUAAACUCUCCCAAAUUCGAGGUGAACUCUCUCAAAUUCUCUAUCGGUGAAUACAUGUGAGUGGAGAAAAAAAAGCAAAAUGGGGGAUUGGGCUAAAAAGAAACUUAUGGAAUUUUUGUGACCCGUCAAAAAUGACAAUCAAUUUUGCAAAACAAAACAAUGGGUUUCGGAUUUUAAGAGUAAGUUUUUGUUAAUUGCUUUGAUUUUUAAUAUAAUUUGAUAUUUUUCAGACCAAAAUUCUUUAUAAUGAAGGGGGUAUAUACAAGUUCACUUCAUUGAUUAAAAAUCUGUCUUUUCAUUUUAGAUAGUGACAUAAUGCAGGAAGCAAUUUCCCUUAAGUAAUCUGGAACGCAAACCAAACAAGGCGCUGAUUUGCAGGUAAGUUUUUUGUAUAUUAUAUUUCUCUUAACAAAAUAAUAUCAAUGAUUUUAACUACAGAUACUGCCCAUUGUUUCUGGAUGUACUUCUCAACUGCAAUAGCUGCCGCAGGCUUUGACGACGGAGGUGUCACCAUCAAAACCAUUAGAAACAGCACCAUCAAGUCAAUGAUGCAAGUGGAAGUUUUGCCAUGUAAUAGUCGACCGCUGACGCCCUUCUCCAUCAAUUGUGUAAGUACGUAUUGAAACAUUCAUAUCAUAGUCAACUAGCUUAAUCUUCAACUUCUAGGUGUAAAGAGUACUACCAGUCUGAAGUUCUGCAAGAGACGCAAACAAAACAAGAAUACAAUCGCAUGAAGACUCCAAAAAAUGUCCAACCUUGACUGUAAGUGAGUUCAAAUUUUAAAUCUACAACGAAUCCAUUCAUUUUGCUCCUAAGGAUCGCACUGGCUUAAUGGUGGCAAUCAUUCGGAGGCAAAUGAGCUGGCCCGACAAGAAUCCCCAAGAAGCCAAACAGAUUCAGAUCAGUCUCUCGGCAGCUACUGACGAUGUCGGCGAGUUGAAUUCAUCGAUUUUCACACAGAAAAUCAACAUCAAAAAAAUCACGACAAUUCAGCAGCGUCAUGGUCAACCUGCCGAUCAACCAUUCACAGUGAACAACCUCUAUUCGUAGCAGAAGCGAUCUCUGCGUUGUCGACAAUGCGAACACAAUGUCAUCAAGCCGGAGUACCAUCCAGGAUCGAUCAAGUAAUGCAUGCAAUUGUUUGCUAACUACCAUGUGCCAGACGUUCUGCUUGUGCAUUGUGAAAAGCCACUGAAGCCUGGCACGUCCACUGAAUUGAUCCUCAAGCUAACUAACCCAACGAUGUACCAUAUGACCACAACCAUUAUGAAACUGCCAACCAAGGAAGAGGAACGGCGAAUGAUCGACUUCGAAUAAAAGUUCAACGAAAGGAACCAAAAUUCACCACUUGGAGAAAGUCAAAUAAAGUAACAAUCAAAUUGAACUUCACACCUGAACAACGACUGAAACCAGGCGAUGAUGUUACCCUUAGUUUCUUGAUAAAAUAUACUUUUGUGAAUACAUACACACGCCCGAAAAGAAAAACGUGAGAAACACGCUUUAUCACCGAAAGUUUUUGUAAAAGUUGGUCAAACUGAAGCCUAGAUUUAUUUCUAUGUAUAUCUUGAAAAUAAUCUUUUUUGCAAAAAACUUGUUUAUUUAUUUGUACUGUUCUACUGUUUCUUUGCUGGCUAGGAUUAUUUUUAUUCAAAAUUAUUUAUGAUUUACUUCACUUUAAUAAUAAAGGAAUUUGUUUUGAAUUCAAAGAUGUUGGUGCUUUUUGCUUCAGGGGACCUACAUAACUAAAAUGUUCGUUGGAAAAACGAAUAAGCUGUAUAAAGUAUAUUUUUCUUUAUUGAGGCAUUACAAAUUUAAUAUUUGUAAUACUUAUUCUUCUUAUGUUUUGAUUACGAAUACGAACUUCGAUUUUAGCUAAAAAACUAUUUUUCAACAUUAUUUUUGUCUAUUUUCAAUUUAAACAGGAACUUGAUGUUUUAACCUAAGACUACAAAUUCGUAAUAAAAAGUACGAAACAAAUUUGAACGAAAUACUGAGGAAAAAUAUUGUAGGUUUGGAAAAACAUACAUACAUAACUAAUUUUUUUUUUUUGAAAAAAGCUAUUUCAUGAAUUUAGAUCAAAAAAUCUACAUGUUUAAUGAUUUAAAUAAUUCCUUAUCACAGAAAAGAAUACAAUGUUAUUGUUAAGGACUUUUAACUAAUGUGAAUUUUAAUGCUAUAAUCUAAACAAAUUGUUUUUAUUCAUAUACUCAUCCUUGCCAACAAAAAUGGAACAUUAACCAUUUUCAACGGAUCGAUUUAAAAUCGAACACUAUGAAGAAAACAUAAGAAAUUAAUAACUUGAAAAUCAAAAAAGCCAGAAGUUAAGCUGCAACAAAGCAUUAACAGCACCAACAGUAAAUAAAUGAAUACAAAUUUGUUUUGGAUUUUAAAUAAACUUACAGAUAGACAAUAGAUCCAUACGCUCCUUCACGUGAUUUGAAAAAUUGUUUUUUUUUUUCGCAUA